rnacentral:rRNA from 1 species
ACGGAAGGCAGCAGUGGGGAAUAUUGGACAAUGGGGGAAACCCUGAUCCAGCGACGCCGCGUGAGUGAAGAAGUAUUUCGGUAUGUAAAGCUCUUUAAGCAGGAAAGAAAAUGACGGUACCUGCAGAAUAAGCCCCGGCUAACUACGUGCCAGCAGCCGCGGUAAUACGUAGGGGGCAAGCGUUAUCCGGAUUUACUGGGUGUAAAGGGAGCGUAGACGGCGGUGCAAGUCUGAUGUGAAAGCCCGGGGCUCAACCCCGGUACUGCGUUGGAAACUGUACUGCUAGAGUGCAGGAGAGGUAAGUGGAAUUCCUAGUGUAGCGGUGAAAUGCGUAGAUAUUAGGAGGAACACCAGUGGCGAAGGCGGCUUACUGGACUGUAACUGACGUUGAGGCUCGAAAGCGUGGGGAGCAAACAGGAUUAGAUACCCUGGUA